rnacentral:lncRNA from 1 species
CAGUUUACCAAGACUUACCUUAGUGGCGUUCCGAUGUAUGUGGUCUAACCGUUUUAUCCUGAGAGAACAACGUCGAUGAAGUUUACAACACCCUCAUUAGGCGGCAAAACAUUCUUAAGGAGAUUGUAUUUGUAAGACUCGACUUAUAAUUUUGUUUUGUAUCUCAUUUUUAGUUUUCUGUUUUGUAAUUGUAAAUUCAAUUUUACUUUAUAUACAAUUGCUAUCAAUAGAAAUUAUUCUUUUGAAUUCUACAUUCUCCGUAAUUUUUCCAACACAAUUUUGUUGUUUUAAUGUCUUCACAGUUUUCUUUCGAUCAUUAUUUCAUAAUAAAUAAUCAUUAUGGUCAAUGACUUGGCUUCCAGUGGAUCUAUUGGUGGGAUGCACAUUCUCCUUUUCAACUGUACUUGAACAUUCCCAUUCCCAUUCCCAUUCGCAUGGGAUAUUGACUUUCCAAAUAAUUUAUUGCACGUCUUGAGCAUUACAGAGUAAACAAUUGCACGACUUGAGAAUGAAUAUAGUUUACAUUUUGAACAACUUUUCAACUAGAGGAACCAUAUAAAAAACAUGGAAUUCAUAUAGAAAAACCUGCAUAGAAUGGUAUUAUAUAUGGAGGUAUGGGGGUGGAGUACAUAUUAGGAGUGCACGAAAGACCCGUUGAACCUGAGAAACGAACUGAAUCGAUUUUAUUGGGUCGGGUUGGUGCAGUUCUACCAUGUCCCCGGUUCGGUUCUGGAUCUGAAAAUUUCGGAUUCGAACGGUUCAGUUUGGUUCGGGUCUAUAAAUUUUUUUACCCGACCCGACCCGAUAACCGAAGUCUAUAACCGAACUACAAUCGAUCCUAUAGAUAUACAGUGCACUUACCACAUUAGAUUAUUACCUAUACAGUAUAAUUAUAAAUUCAAUUUUACUUUAUAUAUAAUUGCUAUCAAUAGAAAUUAUUCAUUUGAAUUCUACAUUUGCUGUAAUUUUUCCAACACAAUUUUGUUGUUUUAAGUGUUUUCAUAGCUUUCUUUUCAUUUUAUGAAUCAUUUUUUCAUAAUAAAUAAUCAUUUAAGAUUAUAAACUAUACCAUUCAAAUGUAACUACUAACUCUAAAAAAACAUAAAUAUAUGGUCAAUGACUUGGCUUCCAGUGGGUCUAUUAGUGGGAUGCACGUCUUCCUUUUCAAUUGUAGACAAUGUUACUGUAUUUGAACGUUCCCAUUCACAUGGGAUAUUGAUUUUCCAAAAUAACUUAUUGAACGUCUUGAGCAUUGCAGAGUAAACGAGUGCACGACAAUAGUUUACAUUAUGAACAACUUAUUGGAAUUCGACUCUAACUUAGGCUCUGUUUGACAUUAGUUUUUUUUUUGUUUUUUUGUUAAAAUAAAUAAAAAAAUUAAUUGAAUUGAUUUUUUUACUUUUCUAUUUUUACUUUUUUACUUAGUUUUAGUUAAAAUAAAAUUAAAAAAACAAAAAAAUUAAAAAAUCUUAACCUUUUAAAUAACAAAAUUAAAAAAAAUUUAACUUUUAAAUAUUACUAAACGAACCUUAAUAUUUGAGUUCGAAACUUCCAAGAGUUUGACCCAUCUAUUUCUAUUAAGAUCUUGCAUCAUACGUUUGACAGCUGGCAGUGGGACCCGGUAAAGGCAACCAGAGGUUUCGUCUUUGUUUCGUCAAUACUGAGUUUGACUCGUUCGCAAGAGAGAGAUCCGCCGGCCCAAGCGGCGGUGCGCGUUCCACGUGAUGAAAAUGAAAAAGAGUAUAAAGCUGGAGGGUAAAUUACAUCAUUGGUCCUUUGUAGUUUUACUAAAGUUUUAUUCCUGUAUUUAUAAUUAUAAAUUAAAUAAUUAGGACUCUAAAAUUUUAAUUUAAUUUCAACAUAAUUUUUCGUCAAUAUCCGUUAAGAAUCUAAACAAAUUUAACAUUUUCGAGCCAAUGAAUCUGGUCAGUACGCAUAGAUUGGACCAACGAAGCAUUAUAGAUUCGAUAAAUCUUGAUUCAAGAUUCUUGAAAGAAGAUCGACUUUUAGGAUUGAGUAUUCUAAUUAGAGAGGUGAAGGGAGCCAAACACAUAGUACAAUAUAUAAGUUAUCACCCAAUUUUGGCCAAAUAGUGGUAAAAUUACAGUUUAAGAAUGGUCUUUGUGAGCUUGACGUGUCUAAAUUCUUAAUGGGUAUAGAAUGAUUGAAAUUAACUUGAAAUUUCAGGGUUCUAAUUAUUGCAAUUGAAGUUACAGGAAUCAAAGUGAAACUUGUUUUAAAAUACAGGAACCAAUGAUGAAAUAAACCUGAGAGAUAGGGAAAGAAGUCAACGACUUUAGGAAUGAGAGACGUGGCGAUUGAUUGAUACGCUGUGCAUGUGGCAGCUCUGUGGGACCCCCCGGAUGGAGUUUUUUUUUGUUUUUUUAAACCCAUUUUCAAAAAAUGUUUUAGAAAAUAACGCAAUUGAAAACUUAUUUAGGAAAAUAGCGCAUUUGACAGAGUUGCUAGUUCUAGUGUCACUGGCAACUCUAGAGCCACU